AGAGUUUGAUCAUGGCUCAGGAUGAACGCUGGCGGCGUGCCUAAUACAUGCAAGUCGAGCGAACUGAUUAGAAGCUUGCUUCUAUGACGUUAGCGGCGGACGGGUGAGUAACACGUGGGCAACCUGCCUGUAAGACUGGGAUAACUUCGGGAAACCGAAGCUAAUACCGGAUAGGAUCUUCUCCUUCAUGGGAGAUGAUUGAAAGAUGGUUUCGGCUAUCACUUACAGAUGGGCCCGCGGUGCAUUAGCUAGUUGGUGAGGUAACGGCUCACCAAGGCAACGAUGCAUAGCCGACCUGAGAGGGUGAUCGGCCACACUGGGACUGAGACACGGCCCAGACUCCUACGGGAGGCAGCAGUAGGGAAUCUUCCGCAAUGGACGAAAGUCUGACGGAGCAACGCCGCGUGAGUGAUGAAGGCUUUCGGGUCGUAAAACUCUGUUGUUAGGGAAGAACAAGUACAAGAGUAACUGCUUGUACCUUGACGGUACCUAACCAGAAAGCCACGGCUAACUACGUGCCAGCAGCCGCGGUAAUACGUAGGUGGCAAGCGUUAUCCGGAAUUAUUGGGCGUAAAGCGCGCGCAGGCGGUUUCUUAAGUCUGAUGUGAAAGCCCACGGCUCAACCGUGGAG
rnacentral:rRNA from 1 species